rnacentral:rRNA from 1 species
UGGGGAAUUUUGGACAAUGGGGGCAACCCUGAUCCAGCAAUGCCGCGUGAGUGAAGAAGGCCUUCGGGUUGUAAAGCUCUUUUGUCAGGGAAGAAACGGUAGUAGCGAAUAACUAUUACUAAUGACGGUACCUGAAGAAUAAGCACCGGCUAACUACGUGCCAGCAGCCGCGGUAAUACGUAGGGUGCAAGCGUUAAUCGGAAUUACUGGGCGUAAAGCGUGCGCAGGCGGUUGUGUAAGUCAGAUGUGAAAUCCCCGGGCUCAACCUGGGAAUUGCAUUUGAGACUGCACGGCUAGAGUGCGUCAGAGGGGGGUAGAAUUCCACGUGUAGCAGUGAAAUGCGUAGAUAUGUGGAGGAAUACCGAUGGCGAAGGCAGCCCCCUGGGAUAACACUGACGCUCAUGCACGAAAGCGUGGGGAGCAAACAGGAUUAGAUACCCCAGUAGUCCCUGAGCGG